GGUUGACCUCGGAUCAGGUAGGGAUACCCGCUGAACUUAAGCAUAUCAAUAAGCGGAGGAAAAGAAACCAACAGGGAUUACUCAGUAACGGCGAGUGAAGCGGUAACAGCUCAAAUUGAAAGCUGCCAACAGGCCGCGUUGUAAUUUGUAGAAGAUGCUUUGGGGGUAGGCCUAGUCUAAGUUCCUUGGAACAGGACGUCAUAGAGGGUGAGAAUCCCGUAUGUGAUUAGUGCCUGCUCCCGUGUAAAGCUCUUUCGACGAGUCGAGUUGUUUGGGAAUGCAGCUCAAAAUGGGUGGUAUAUUUCAUCUAAAGCUAAAUAUUGGCCAGAGACCGAUAGCGCACAAGUAGAGUGAUCGAAAGAUGAAAAGCACUUUGGAAAGAGAGUUAAACAGUACGUGAAAUUGUUGAAAGGGAAGCGCUUGCAACCAGACUUGCAGGCGGUCGAUCAUCCGAGGUUCUCCCCGGUGCACUCGAUCGUCUUCAGGCCAGCAUCGGUUUUGGUGGCGGGAUAAAGGCUCUAGGAAUGUGGCUCUUCGGAGUGUUAUAGCCUAGGGUGCAAUGCCGCCUACCGGGACCGAGGACCGCGCUUCGGCUAGGAUGCUGGCGUAAUGGUUGUAAGCGGCCCGUCUUGAAACACGGACCAAGGAGUCUAACAUCUAUGCGAGUGUUUGGGUGUCAAACCCAUACGCGUAAUGAAAGUGAACGGAGGUGAGAGCCCUUUAGGGCGCAUCAUCGACCGAUCCUGAUGUCUUCGGAUGGAUUUGAGUAAGAGCAUAGCUGUUGGGACCCGAAAGAUGGUGAACUAUGCGUGAAUAGGGUGAAGCCAGAGGAAACUCUGGUGGAGGCUCGCAGCGGUUCUGACGUGCAAAUCGAUCGUCAAAUUUGCGUAUAGGGGCGAAAGACUAAUCG
rnacentral:rRNA from 1 species